GACUUUGGUCUGAUUGUAUAGGAGUAGUUUUUGAACUAAAAAAGGAGCAAUAGCUUUCCUCUUGUUUUAUCAAGAGGGCGUUAUUGCUCCUUUUUUUAUUUAGUACUAUUUGGCUUACACAGUUUCUUUAAAAAUAUUUUAUAGUUUGGUUCGAUUCGCGUGUUUUCUCUUUGUAUUCAUAUUCAUUUAUAUUAUAGGUUUGUAUAUUCUAUUCCAAAUUUUUUAUGAAGUUUGAUUUCCAAUUCAAUUUCAAACCAAAAUAUAUAAAAAUUGCAUUUUUGCUUAUUUAUUACUUUGAUAAAAAAGAAAUAAUAUGCUCUUUUUUAUGUUGAGGUAAAAAUAUAGAUAAUACUAGAUAGAUAUAUAGUAGAGGGGCGGAUGUAGCCAAGUGGAUCAAGGCAGU
rnacentral:misc_RNA from 1 species